GACACACUGUUCUUUGUGCUGUCUACUGAAGUUCUGCAUUGUAGUGCUCCUUUGCAAUUAAAUGCUCCCAUCUUUAAGGUGAUGGUGAGGUAGCUGUAGUCUCCAGGCUCUGUGAUGUUCCCUGCUAGUGCUGCUGUUCUCCCUGAAGAAGACAGGCUGUUUGGCUGAAGGUGAUGGAGCCAUCCCCAUGGAGCUGUAACAGAACCUGGAUGGAAUAAACUCUUGCAGGAAAGGAUGCUGGGUCUGAUUCUCUGUUGCCUCGCAACCUGCUUCUGGUCCAGUGCAAAAAGGAUGAGAAAUACUGAAUGAACUAUUCCUAGUGGGGCAGGGGAAUAGCAGCACCAAGAGGAAAGCUUAGGUGGGAGCUGCAGUCCUUCCAUGCAAACGGUUGAGGAAAAAAUUCAUCCAGAAAGUACUCGUGACAUAGAGAAAUGCUUCUGAAUUUCAUGCCCUACGAUUCACCAUGUGAUGAAGAGCAAGCAAGCAAGUUGAGCACUGUUGUCUUCACAGAUAAAAUAUUCAGAGUCGCUGUCCAUUAUGAAGAGCUCCUGAGAAACCCGGCUCUGCCCUCCGCUAAUCUCACCCCUCCGAGCUGUGUGCCCCACGAUGGGACGGGGCGGUCCGGACGGUGCGGUGCUGCCCGGCUGCGGGUGAGCGGUGCCCGGACGCUCCUCGUCCUCGGAGACGGUGUCAGCUCUCCGGGUUUGACGUUUUGAUAACCGAAAUGGGAUGAGGGCGAAGAAAGGAAAAUUUCCGAGUAUACCGCCGUGUUUGGAAAUAGAUUGACUGCCUGGGAUUUAUCUUUCUCUUAUUACACAAACCAGCCUCUUCCAUUGCACAGCUGGCCUGAAAAUCCCUGAAUUUUUGGGAAAGUAACUCAGUUGUUGGUUCCCUUUGCUUCUGCCUGCCUGUUGGUGAAGUUUACUACUGGCAGUUAACAAUUGCUUGCAUGCCAUUUGUCUGAUACCAAAAAAGCUUAGAUUGAAGGCAAUGCAGCUGCUUUCAAACUUCCAAGGUUGCUCAGUCUUUCACUGCUUUCUACAUGAGAAGCUUUUAUUUCUAUUUGUUAGGAGGGCCACAACCCACUGUGGGGCCAGCCCUCUACAAAUAGGGCUGUGAUGCACCUGAACUGUGGUGGUGAAGGGGUACAUUUGAAAGCUUCACCUGGUGCCAUUUCCUUCUGACUGCCUCGUGACUGAUUUAUCUGAGCAUACAGCUGUGCUUAUUUGUAGCCUUUUAUAGACACCUUUGUAUUGCCUAUGAUUAUUUUUGCUAUCACGGAAUCGGAUCUCAAGAAACUUAAAUUGGUGGGAUAUGUUGUUAAUUCUUGGGUUUUAACACUUCUGUGCUCACUGACAACAGUGCCAGUGGCUGUUAUUCUGAAAAGCUGUGACUCAGCAGAGUCAGAUGUUUUGUUCUGAAGUCCUUAAUAGUAAUAUUUCAUUAGGCUUUCCUAAGCCAACCAGAAAUGUUUUGUUUCUGGGUACCUCGGCUAUUAAGCAUCACUUCUUGUGUCACUGUCCUUGUGCUUCAGAUAUGGGGGAAUGGGCACAGCCAGGCAGGAACAGGGCUUGGAUUUACCCACAUCUUUUAAAUUACAGCAGUUAAGACUAAUCAGAGAAAUGCACCUCAGUGUACGCCCGGUGCCUGAGCAGAGCAUGUUGCAUUUUCUAAACGUCAUUUUGUUUUAGGGCUCUAGUUGUAUUAAUUGGGAAAUAUUCCCUAUAGCUCCAUGUAGUGUCUGCAGGGCUAAGGGGGGCUCGGUCCCCGUUAGGAGUAAAGACUCAUCCUCUUUUGAAAGGAGAAUAUCAAAUGUCAUAAUUGAUAUCCUGGUAUUGAUGUAUUAAGUGCAAAAGUGACUUAGGUCAAUAAGUGUGGGUUCAGCACUGUAAUGCUC
ensembl:lncRNA